rnacentral:rRNA from 1 species
CCAACCGAGCCGGGUGAUAGCUGGUUGCCUGUGAAGUGAAUCUAAGUUCCCUCUUAAUUUUCCCCCUCCGGACACCCACCCUCAACCACCAUGUGGUAGAUCAAGAGUAAUUUAAAGGGGGUACAGCCCCUUUAAAAAAGAAUACAACCUCCACUAGCGGAUAACUGCCCAACUGACACUAAACUGUGGGCCCUCAAGCAGCCAUCAACAAAGAGUGCGUCAAAGCUCUACGCCUAAAAAAAUCCAAAAACAACAGGACUCCCUUAUCCAUAACAGGCCAACCUAUGACAAUAGGAGAAUCAAUGCUAAAAUGAGUAAUCAGGGACUACCCUCUCGAGCGCAAGCUUACAUUACCCCAUUAUUAACAAACCCCAGACUAAUACUUCCAACUCAAACAAGCCAAGUAUUAAAUCCACCCUGUUAAUCCAACUCAGGUGCGCCCAUCAGAAAGAUUCAAAUCUGCAAAAGGAACUAGGCANCCCCAAGGCCCGACUGUUUACCAAAAACAUAGCCUUCAGCCAACCAAGUAUUGAAGGUGAUGCCUGCCCAGUGACACCAUGUUCAACGGCCGCGGUAUCCUAACCGUGCGAAGGUAGCGCAAUCAAUUGUCCCAUAAAUCGAGACUUGUAUGAAUGGCUAAACGAGGUCUUAACUGUCUCUUGCAGACAAUCAAUGAAAUUGAUCUUCCUGUGCAAAAGCAGGAAUAAGCCCAUAAGACGAGAAGACCCUGUGGAACUUAAAAAUCAGCGNCCACUACACACAACCCAAAACCUACCAGGCCCACAACCCCAACAACACACUGGCCCGCAUUUUUCGGUUGGGGCGACCUUGGAGAAAAACAGAUCCUCCAAAAAUAAGACUACACCUCUUAACCAAGAGCGACACCUCAACGUACUAACAGUAACCAGACCCAAUAUAAUUGACCAAUGGACCAAGCUACCCCAGGGAUAACAGCGCAAUCCCCUCCAAGAGCUCAUAUCGACGAGGGGGUUUACGACCUCGAUGUUGGAUCAGGACAUCCUAAUGGUGCAGCCGCUAUUAAGGGUUCGUUUGUUCAACGAUUAAUAGUCCUACGUGAUCUGAGUUCAGACCGGAGCAAUCCAGGUCGGUUUCUAUCUAUGACAAACUUUUCCCAGUACGAAAGGACCGGAAAAGUGAGGCCCAUACCACAAGCACGCCUCCCCCCAAGUAGUGAACCCAACUGAACUACCAAACAGGCCACCCAUCUCCACACCAUCCUAGAAAAGGACCG